CCUACGGGCGGCAGCAGUGGGGGAUAUUGGACAAUGGGGGAAACCCUGAUCCAGCGACGCCGCGUGAGUGAAGAAGUAUUUCGGUAUGUAAAGCUCUAUCAGCAGGGAAGAAAGAAAUGACGGUACCUGAGUAAGAAGCCCCGGCUAACUACGUGCCAGCAGCCGCGGUAAUACGUAGGGGGCAAGCGUUAUCCGGAAUUACUGGGUGUAAAGGGAGCGUAGACGGUAAUGCAAGUCUGGAGUGAAAGGCGGGGGCCCAACCCCCGGACUGCUCUGGAAACUGUGUAACUGGAGUGCAGGAGGGGAAGGCGGAAUUCCUGGGGUAGCGGUGAAAGGGGUAGAUAUUAGGAGGAACACCAGUGGCGAGGGCGGCCUGCUGGACUGUAACUGACGUGGGGGCUCGAAGGCGUGGG
rnacentral:rRNA from 1 species